rnacentral:lncRNA from 1 species
UCUUAUUUUCCAAUAUAUAUUUAGGUUUGAACUUCGAAUAAGACAACUCUAAUAUAAUUUUAAUUUAAUUUUGAAUGACUCAUUAUGCAAUAUUGAAUUUCAAAGUCUAAAAUUUAUUCUUAAAAUAGAUAAUGAUGAUGAGAUUAAUAGAAUAUGUCUAAAAUUAACUGGGCCAUGUGCAAAUUAUUUCAGCGCUUGAAAAAGGAAAAGGAAUAUAUAGGACACUCGGUAUCACCAAUUAGGAGGGUGUGUGUGAUGAGGCAACCAAGGCCAAGACCGAUCGAGCUCAUUCAAAGCCCUGUCCUCAACUACGCGAGUUACAAAUUCCAAUUAGUAGGGCCUGCAUGCCCAAAAGAUGUUCUGGCUUGGCACUUUAUAUAGUAAGGAAAUGAUGGUGCCUGUUCUAUUCGGUCAAAUCAGGAUGAGAUCUCCUAGCGUUUAAAAUGCAGCAAGAAGCUAGCUAGAAAUCCGGGGGAAUCUUCAAUUCCUCUAAUUAUUCACAGAUUUGGAAACUUAUUUGGCAUCUUGGGGUUCCACCGAAAUUAAGGACAUUGUAGCUAUAUAUGUUGGCGUGGAUAUGUGGAACCAUAUAGGAACGAUCUUCUUCAUGGGAACAAACACAUUUCUCCUCCCUAACUUGUGGUUCGUAACUCAGCUGCUGCAAUUGUGGACGCCGGUGUUGAACGAGUCAUGGGUAACUUUGCCGUAAAUGCGGCAGAGGUUAUCCCCAUUUGACAGGCCUUGAUCUUUACAUGAGAUAUCGGCCUAUCUGGAGUCAAUGUGAUUCCAAGCAAUUAAGUGAUUCAUCGUCUCAAUUCUCCUCAGAAUGAUGAGUCUUAUCGCUACAAGAAUCUACCCCAUAGUCGACGGAGACGGACUAAAUGUUGUUGUCUUUGACCUCACGGUCAACGGAGUUAAGGUCGACGGACAGGACAUGCCCGUCUCAUCUAGAAGGCGGAGAUGUCCGUGACUAUGACCCUAUUUCUUGUAGUGUAUAUUUUAAUAUUAUACUAAUAGAGAAUCGUAUGAAAUUGAGAUUUUUUUGAGACUAUUAACGGUCGGCUAAUUCGGUGUCCCAUGGUUUAGUUAAAUUGGCUUAAGCAUUUGAUAUGUCUUUUCUUACAUAGGUUGGAGGAUGUUUAUAUUCGGAUUUUCCGUCUUUAAAUUAUUUUUUUUUAAAAAAAAAUUCACUCUAACCGGACGUAAAG